AAGUCGUAACAAGGUUUCCGUAGGUGAACCUGCGGAAGGAUCAUUAACACGUUUCAACGUUCUCAACCCUCUGUGAACUGAUUCUCCCUACUCUGAACAGCUGUGAUACAUAGUCAGUGAUGGGUGGACAGCCUUGUGCUGUUCGCGGCUAUGUGACACUACGGGUUUCGAGCCCAGUGCUUUCAGAUCGUAGGCUCUUUCUUUUCCAUCACUGUUUAAAAACCAUUUUCACCCCCAAACUCAUAUUGACUGAUGUACUUAUGCAAGAGAAAUCUUUGGCAUAAGCAAGUUAUUCAAACUAAGCACAACUCUUAGCAAUGGAUAUCUUGGUUCUC
rnacentral:misc_RNA from 1 species